rnacentral:lncRNA from 1 species
AACUUAAUCCCACCCCUAUUUAAUUUUUUAAUAUAAAUAUUAAUUUUAAUUUUAAAAUUUAAAAUUUUAAAAAUUUAUAUUUUAAUUUUAAAAUUAAUAAUUAUUUUUUAAAAUUUAAAAAUUUUUAAAAUUAUUAUUUUUAAUUAUUUAAAUUUUAAAUUUGAUAUUUUAUAUUUGUAACUUUAAAUUUUUUAAUUUGAGAUUUAAAAAUAUAGAUUUUAAUUUUAAAUUUUGAAUUUUAAAUUUUAAAUUAUUAUUUUUAAUUAUUUUUAAAUUUUAAAUUUGAUAUUUUAUAUUUGUAACUUUAAAUUUUAAAUUUGAGAUUUAAAAAUAAAAAUUUUGAUUUUAAAUUUAAAUUUAAAAAUUAAAAAUAUUAUUUUUAAUUAUUUAAAUUUUAAAUUUAAAUUUAAAUAUAAAAAUUAGUACAAAAUUAUUAUUUUCUAUUUAUAAUAAUCCAGUAUCCUUCUUAUCCCACCUAUUUCAACCAAACACUAUUUUAUCUAUACCUAUACUAAACCUAAUUUUCAACCAAGCAUAAAAUUACUUUAACCCGACUUUAAACCUAAAUUUAAUUUUAUUUAUGAAAUAACUAAUUUUUAUUUAAUUCCGAACCAA